UCCGAAUUGGUGUAACGGUUAACAUUUCACGUUUUCAUUAUCUCUAGCAGAUAGAGAAAACCGUGAGGCUCGGGGUUCGAUUCCCCGAUUCGGAG